rnacentral:tRNA from 1 species
AGCGGGUAUAGAUAAAUUGGUAACAUCAUUAGUUUUCCAAACUGAAUUUUACGGGUUCAAAUCCCGUUACCCGUUU